GCAGUAGGGUGCCAUCAA
rnacentral:rRNA from 1 species